GUCCUCAUAGUUUAAUGGAUAAAAUGCCGGCCUCCGAAGCUGGCGAUGCAGGUUCGAUUCCCGCUGAGGACA
rnacentral:tRNA from 1 species